rnacentral:rRNA from 1 species
GACGAACCGUCCAAACGUUAUUCGGAAUCACUGGGCUUACAGAGUUCGUAGGCGGUUUGGAAAGUUGGGUGUGAAAUCCCUCGGCUCAACCGAGGAACUGCGCUUGAAACUACCAGACUCGAGGGAGAUAGAGGAAAGCGGAACUGAUGGUGGAGCGGUGAAAUGCGUUGAUAUCAUCAGGAACACCGGUGGCGAAGGCGGCUUUCUGGGUCUUACCUGACGCUGAGGAACGAAAGCCAGGGGAGCGAACGGG